CAGUCGCCGCGGUAAUACGUAGGUCCCGAGCGUUGUCCGGAUUUAUUGGGCGUAAAGGGAGCGCAGGCGGUUUAGUAAGUCUGAAGUUAAAGGCAUUGGCUCAACCAAUGUAUGCUUUGGAAACUGUUAGACUUGAGUGCGGAAGGGGAGAGUGGAAUUCCAUGUGUAGCGGUGAAAUGCGUAGAGAUGUGGAGGAACACCAGUGGCGAAGGCGACUCUCUGGUCUGUAACUGACGCUGAGGAGCGAAAGCGUGGGGAGCGAACAGGAUUAGAUACCCCAGUAGUCCCUGUCUCUUAUACC
rnacentral:rRNA from 1 species